GACAGAGGGUGCAAACGUUGCUCGGAAUCACUGGGCGUAAAGGGCGUGUAGGCGGGAAGGAAAGUCAGAUGUGAAAUCCCCAGGCUCAACCUGGGAACUGCAUUUGAAACUCCCUUUCUUGAGUACCGGAGAGGAAAGCGGAAUUCCUGGUGUAGAGGUGAAAUUCGUAGAUAUCAGGAGGAACACCAGCGGCGAAGGCGGCUUUCUGGACGGUAACUGACGCUGAGAACGCGAAAAGCUAGGGGGAGCAAACAGG
rnacentral:rRNA from 1 species